GGGACGCGGCGUCGGGUGUGCUGAGCGGACGCUGCCGAGCGCCGGCAGCUGGAGGGCGUCCGGGUCUGGGACCGAGUGAGACAGCAAUCCUGAGUCUAGUGGGCGACCUGUCCAGCUUCGGUGGACUUUUGUCACCAAGUGUGUGCACACACCACAACAUUCUUUCAUGAGAUGAAGGGCUGAGGAUGGAACCCGGAGCCUUGCACAUGCUGAGCCCAUCCUCAGCCCUGUUGACUUUCUAAGGACCAUCUUACUGUUUACAUGAAUUUGUAACUUUGUAAGAUGAAGUGAGCACCAAAAGAGAAAAAGGAAAGAGCACAUGGCACACAAUAAAGGCCAGUCACUUAAAAUAC